GACGAACGCUGGCGGCGUGCCUAAUACAUGCAAGUAGAACGCUUAAGGAGGAGCUUGCUCUUCUGGAUGAGUUGCGAACGGGUGAGUAACGCGUAGGUAACCUGCCUGGUAGCGGGGGAUAACUAUUGGAAACGAUAGCUAAUACCGCAUAACAGUAGAUGUUGCAUGACAUUUACUUAAAAGGUGCAAUUGCAUCACUACCAGCUGGACCUGCGUUGUAUUAGCUAGUUGGUGGGGUAACGGCUCACCAAGGCGACGAUACAUAGCCGACCUGAGAGGGGGAUCGGCCACACUGGGAAUGAGACACGGCACAGACUCCUACGGGAGGCAGCAGUAGGGAAUCUUCGGCAAAGGACGGAAGUAUGAACGAGCAAAGGCGCGUGAGUGAAGAGGGGUUUCGGAUCGUAAAGAUCUGUUGUAAGAGAAGAACGAGUGUGAGAGUGGAAAGUGCACACUGUGACGGUAUCUUACCAGAAAGGGACGGCUAACUACGUG
rnacentral:rRNA from 1 species